rnacentral:rRNA from 1 species
AUGGCGGACGCGGCGGUGAGGUGCCUCCGGGACGGCCGCCUCGACGGCGAGCACGCGCCGGCGCUGGCCGUGGAGGGCUCCCUCCAGUGCUGCCCGCUCGCGGCGCGCGCCAUGCUCCACGUCGCCGCCGCCGUCGCCUCCAACGCGGCCGCGGGGAAGGCACAGGCCAGGGGACUUGUGGUCGUGGCGUUUGAUCGUAGCCCGGAAGUUUACCUGGAUAUCAUGCUUCGGCACGGCCUUGAUUCAAAUGCACUGAGUCGAUGUGUUCGGAUAUUGGAUUGCUACUCAGACCCACUGGGGUGGAAGCAAAAUAUUCGAAGUCAGCAGCAACAAGAGAACAGUGGAACACUGUGCUCAACAAACAAAGACACCAUAACAACUUUCAGAAGUGUGAAGGAUGUUGAUAAGUUGUCGUGCUCCAUAAUUGAUCUUGGAAGAGGGUUUGAAGGAGAAGGCAAGACCUAUUUUUCUGUUGCUGUUGAUUCAAUCAGCUCUAUGUUAAGGCAUGCUUCAGUGCAAUCAAUUUCAGGCCUUCUUAGUAAUCUUCGAAGCCAUGAUCAGAUAUCGUCGAUCUUCUGGCUAAUGCAUUCAGAUCUCCAUGAAACCAAGUUUUCCCGAGCUUUUGAAUGUCUUUCUACCAUGGUUGCUUGUGUAGAGCCAGAAGUUGUAGAUUCUGUAUAUGGAGAAGAACGUAGGGGGGACAUGUCUUUCCUUGAGCAUAACUAUUCGAAAGCAAAGUUCCAUGUGCGCCUGAAACGAAGGAAUGGACGGGUGAAGCAUCUGUAUGAGGAGUUAUGUGUCGAGGGAUAUGAUGUAAAAUUUAUUUCUGCUACUUCUGUAAGUAUGGAAGUGAACCAAAGUCUACUACCUAAGGUUCAGUUCAAUCUUGAGUUGUCAGAAAAGGAGCGCAGUGACAGGGCAAAUGUUGUUCUUCCUUUCGAACAUCAAGGAAAGGGCGAGCCAAUCCGUAUAUACGAUGGACGGCGAUCUCUCCCGGAGGCUCAUCAAGAUCCCAAUUUAACUACGGCAGCUCUCCUGGAUGAAACAGAAGCUCUUAAAUCUGCAAACCCGAAGGGUGAAAUUCAUUACCUUCGUGAUUCUGAUGAUGAGCGACCUGACUCGGAUGAAGACCCCGAUGAUGAUUUGGAUAUUUAG